AUAGACAGCACCGAUAAAAAGCCACAUUGAAGGGAAUGAUGCAUAACCCCCACCCUCCUCCAAUUUCUUCUUGCACACAUUUAAUGUUUUAAAGCAUUAGCCUUCUCGGUUCGCGACACCAGAUCCCACAAAUAUCCAAGUUCCGAAUACGCAACACACUGUAAACAUUUUAAGAUCAAUACUCUGUUUACAUUAUGCUCAUGGAGGUUGCAAUGCCUUAAUUUUAAUAUAUUAUUUUGAACAGCGCUUUACUCAGUUCUUUCAAAGUCAAUUUCAGCGGAUGAAGAAACCCGAAGGCUGUUGUUAAAUUAACCUUCCAUGAAUCGACUGUGCCCAAAGCGGCUCGGAACCCAUUCGGGGCAAGAGAGAACUGAUUGCAGGGUCGUGAGUUGGAGGGACACAUUCGGCGGCGGCGGUGAAUCAACUGGGAAGGCGCUGUCCUGGAAUUAAUUUCAUUUACUACAAAAUAAAAUCCAAGGCACUCUACAUUCUGGCUCCAGCCUUCCAUAGUCGCAUCAUAAGGAUCGAUCCUGCCAAAGAGUGGCAUGCCUGGAAUGUACCAUGAAAAGAAGACUGAAAGGAAAAGGAAUAAGUUUUUUUGGAAAACAUCAGAUCUCUUCUAGAAUAAGAAGCCAAUAACCCUGGGAAAAGACAAUGAUAACAGAUGGUGGCAGCAGUGACAACACCCAUAGAGGAACAGUAGAAAAUGGUGGGAAAAGCCUCAAGUGAAGCCCAACAGCACAGAGCAGCAGGUGAAAGACUUUGAGGCCAACCCAACAAUCAUACUGGAGGUGACUAAAAAAAACGGCAGCCCAGUGACCAGCAAGACCCGCAGUGUAGGAAAAGAUAACCUCAAACCAGGGGGAGAAAUGGCUAUUACAUUGCCCUACCAUUAUCCUUUCAAACUAUAGGGGGCCCCAGACAGGCUGACCAAUGCCAAAAUUGGCAAAGACAUUUUAUCCUAUUCUACAAUGCCUCAGGUCAUGCGAGUCAAAAGAACAAAGAUCAGGUCCGCACUUUGUUAUAUACUAUUGGGAGCAUAACAGAUGACGU